UCCCUCAUAGUGAAGUGGUUAUCACCCAGCACUUUGAAUGCUGUAUCCUCGGUUCGAGCCCGGGUGAGGGAA